rnacentral:rRNA from 1 species
UACGUAGGGGGCAAGCGUUGUCCGGAAUUAUUGGGCGUAAAGAGCGCGUAGGCGGUCCGAUAAGUCGGCUGUGAAAGUCAGGGGCUCAACCCUUGAAAGCCGGCCGAUACUGUCGGACUAGAGUCCGGAAGAGGCAAGUGGAAUUCCCGGUGUAGCGGUGAAAUGCGCAGAUAUCGGGAGGAACACCAAUGGCGAAGGCAGCUCGCUGGGACGGUACUGACGCUAAGGCGCGAAAGCGUGGGGAGCAAACAGG